rnacentral:rRNA from 1 species
GGAAUAACCCUGGGAAAAUGGGUUUUUAAUUACGGGAUAGGGACCCUUCCUUUAGGUGGGGGGGGUGGAAAGAAUUUUUUGGUGUGGGGAGGAGCCCCCGGCCCUUUCAGCUUUGUGGUGGGGGUAAUGGCCUUACCAAGGGGUUGACGGGUAGCCGGCCCUGAGAGGGGGGACGGCCACAUUGGGACUGAGAUACGGCCCAGACUCCUACGGGAGGCAGCAGGGGGGAAUAUUGCACAAUGGGCGGAAGCCUGAUGCAGCGACGCCGCGUGGGGGAUGACGGCCUUCGGGUUGUAAACCUCUUUCGACAGGGACGAAGCCUUGUAGGUGACGGUACCUGUAUAAGAAGCACCGGCUAACUACGUGCCAGCAGCCGCGGUAAUACGUAGGGUGCGAGCGUUGUCCGGAAUUACUGGGCGUAAAGAGCUCGUAGGUGGUUUGUCGCGUCGUCUGUGAAAUUCCGGGGCUUAACCUCGGGCGUGCAGGCGAUACGGGCAAUACUUGAGUGCUGUAGGGGAGACUGGAAUUCCUGGUGUAGCGGUGAAAUGCGCAGAUAUCAGGAGGAACACCGAUGGCGAAGGCAGGUCUCUGGGCAGUAACUGACGCUGAGGAGCGAAAGCAUGGGUAGCGAACAGGAUUAGAUACCCUGGUAGUCCAUGCCGUAAACGGUGGGCGCUAGGUGUAGGGGUCUUCCCACGACUUUCUGUGCGCGUAGCUAACGC